rnacentral:rRNA from 1 species
UGAGUAACCUGCCCUUAACUCUGGGAUAAGCCUGGGAAACUGGGUCUAAUACCGGAUAUGACUCCUCAUCGCAUGGGUGGGGGGUGGAAAGCUUUAUUGUGGUUUUGGAUGGACUCGCGGCCUAUCAGCUUGUUGGUGAGGUAAUGGCUCACCAAGGCGACGACGGGUAGCCGGCCUGAGAGGGUGACCGGCCACACUGGGACUGAGACACGGUCCAGACUCCGACGGGAGCAG